rnacentral:rRNA from 1 species
UAACCAGGAUUCCCCUAGUAACGGCGAGUGAAGCGGGAAGAGCCCAGCACCGAAUCCCCUGUCGCUGCGGCAGUGGGAACUGUGGUGUUUAGGACGAUCACUGGCGCGUCGUGCUCCCGUCCGAGUCCUCCUGAUCGGGGCCUUUCCCAUAGCGGGUGUCAGGCCUCUAGUCUAGGCGAGGGCCGGCGUGCCUCUAAACGUCCUUGGAGUCGGGUUGUUUGGGAAUGCAGCCCAAAGUGGGUGUAAACUCCAUCUAAGGCUAAAUACUGACAUGAGACCGAUAGCGGACAAGUACCGUGAGGGAAAGUUGAAAAGAACUUUGAAGAGAGAGUUCAAGAGUACGUGAAACCGCUCAGAGGCAAACUGAUGGGACCGCAAAGUCGCCUCGUGGAAUUCAACUCUUCCGAGGGCUCGGGACGUUCGGACGUAGAUCCUCAUGGGACUGCUUCGGGCGUUCGCGGGUUCCGGAGGGCGCCCUUUCCACGAGGAGAGCGCCACGACCGGUCCGCCGGCGGCCAGAAGUCCCAGGGAAAGGUAGCGGGAACGAUUUCGGUCGCCUUCCGUGUUAUAGUCCCUGGGUUCGGAGGCCCGCCGACGAACCGAGGAACAGCAUGCCGCCGCUUCCGCCUCCUUCGGGAUGGCGCGGGCCCCCGCGUCGGUUUGUCGGGUCGAGGAUGGACUGUUUACAGUGUGUUCCGACUGCCAGGCUUAUCGGCUGUGGGUGUGCUCCCGUUUGGAAGCCUAGGGUCCGUGGCGAAUCGAUCGGCACCCCAUCAGACCCGUCUUGAAACACGGACCAAGGAGUCUAACAUGUGCGCAAGUCAUUGGGCUCUACGAAACCCACAGGCGCAAUGAAAGUGACAGGGCGUUCGCGUCCGUGGCAGGAUCCGUCGUCUCCGGGCGGCGGCGCACUGCUGGCCCGUCUCGGUCGCCACGUCGACGAGGCGGAGCAAGAGCGUACACGUUGGGACCCGAAAGAUGGUGAACUAUGCCUGAGUAGGACGAAGUCAGGGGAAACCCUGAUGGAGGU